rnacentral:lncRNA from 1 species
CUGGCUGCAACAUUCUAAAACAGAAUGAGGAGAAAGAGUUUGGGUUCCUGAUUCAGGAUACAACCUUCUACUUCUUCCCUGAUGCUUAUCCUGCACUUCGUCCCUUCCUUCUGAAAUGUGCUCUUUUUUAGAAAUCUUCCGCAAAUUACUUUCCAGACAGAGAAUUCCUAUUUUAGACAACCCUACUUGCUCAAGUUGAUCCAAAGUAUUUCAAGGAAUAAGAUCAUCAACCAUGUGCCCACCAAUUUUAUUUUAAGGUACAAACAGUCAAAUGUUUUAUGAGUCAUAUAUCUGAACACUGAGCUGCUGUGUAUAGAUUU